CCCCGGUCUCUUUUCUUUCCUCUAGUCUAGUCACCCCCGGUCUCUUUUCUUUCCUCUAGUCUAGUCACGUUCACUCUCUCCUCCUCUAGACUAGUCACCCCAGUCUCUUUUCUUUCCUCUAGUCUAGUCACGUUCACUCUCUCCUCCUCUAGACUAGUCACCCCCGGUCUCUUUUCUUUCCUCUAGUCUAGUCACCCCGGUCUCUUUUCUUUCCUCUAGUCUAGUCACGUUCACUCUCUCCUCCUCUAGACUAGUCACCCCCAGUCUCUUUUCUUUCCUCUAGACUAGUCACGUUCACUCUCUCCUCCUCUAGACUAGUCACCCCCGGUCUCUUUUCUUUCCUCUAGUCUAGUCACGUUCACUCUCUCCUCCUCUAGUCUAGUCACCCCCGGUCUCUUUUCUUUCCUCUAGUCUAGUCACGUUCACUCUCUCCUCCUCUAGACUAGUCACCCCGGUCUCUUUUCUUUCCUCUAGUCUAGUCACGUUCACUCUCUCCUCCUCUAGUCUAGUCACCCCCAGUCUCUUUUCUUUCCUCUAGACUAGUCACCCCGGUCUCUUUUCUUUCCUCUAGUCUAGUCACGUUCACUCUCUCCUCCUCUAGACUAGUCACCCCCGGUCUCUUUUCUUUCCUCUAGUCUAGUCAC
rnacentral:lncRNA from 1 species